ensembl:lncRNA
GUAAGGCUGUCUGUUGACAAAAUCCCUUUUUAUAUCAGGAUUCCUUUAUUACUCAGGUGUUAUCUGGGGAUAAAACAACCAAAAGUGGGUCAGCUGUGUUGUCAUCAGAGCACUUGAAGCGCAAAGCUUGCCAUUAGUGUCAGUGUUUCAUGAGGCAAAGAAUGCCUUAGAAAGAGAGGAAGGGAUUUGGGAGAAGCACUUAAAUUUGGCAAGAACCAAACAAUUAGCACUACAGAUGAGGAUUGUGAAGCCCAGGAGACCUUGCUGAGCUGCUGUGCCAGCAUUACAUGAUCGGGGAGCGUAUCUGAAGGAUCUGCCAAAGUGGGUGAAGUCAUUCAAGUUUCCACUCAUUGACCCUAUGGUAACAUUUAACACGCACAACGCACAGCACAAAUGACAAGAGAAGGAAGCGAUGCC